UUCCAGGGGGCUGGGGAUAUAGCUCAGUUGGUAGAGUGCUUGCCUUACAAGCACAAGGCCCUGGGUUCAAUCCCCAGCACUGGAAA